GGCGGGGUAGCUCAGUUGGUUAGAGCAGAGGAAUCAUAAUCCUUGUGUCGGGAGUUCAAAUCUCUCCCUCGCUACCA
rnacentral:tRNA from 19 species